AUGAAACUGAUUUCAUGCUGGAGUUGGUGUUUCCCUAAAGAUACGGAGAAGUCCGAAGAAAGGAUGAGAAAAAGGAAAAGAAAACGUACUCACCAGACAUUUUGGCUGAAGAAGAAGAUGAAGUUCAGGGAGGCAGCCAAAACGCCUGUUCUUGGCUCUGUUAAAUGGGCAAGAACGAAUUAUUCACAAAAGUAUCCAAAAGUCUCAAUAAAGAACUCUCCAAACACUCUCACCAUAUACAAUAAUAUAGUAAUAUAGCUGGGGAAGUAUUAGUUUGAGUUUUUCUGCCCUCAUCCCUACUAUUUAAAUGCCCAAGAAGUCCAUGAUUUGACAAUGAUUUGAUUGCGCGAUACUUUCAAUUUGAAUAUUCAAAGACUUCGCUAAAAUACUUAUAUCUUAGUGAAAUUCGCAUUUAGAAUGCAUACAACAACACUCACUAUAAUAUAAUAUCAUGCUAUUUCACACUUUGACCUAAAAACAAAAAUAUAUUUUAACAUUUUACCAUCCUUUUAAUAUUGCUGGAUAGAGUCUUCCUGUGAAGCUCUGUUUCCACUUUACACUGAAUUAUGACUGAAAUAAGACAUUUUACACCAUUUUUCACAUCAAACAUUUAUUCCACAGUGGUAAGGAUACUUAAAAAGCACACUUAUGACGAUCUCAGGCCUAUUUUUAAUAUCUUUUUCUGAAAUAUAUGACUGGUGGGCGUGGCAUAUAGUAGCAGCCAUUUUGCCAGGAGAGCACUUGGAUGGAGCUCGAGCUCUGUUCCCAGGUGAUUCUGCCAUACACUGCCCAGUGUGAUAACCACACACAAAUCAAAUUAAAGACCAGCACAGAUGAAUAAUAAGCUUUAUUUCAGAUUUACAACAUAAUCUGAAUUUUUAAGCAGGUUUUGAUAAAAUACAUUUUUAACUCUUAUCCCCAGUCAUUUUCUGUCCAGUGUGGACCACAAGGGAUCAGGUGUAUUGUCGGAUGUUCCUUAAAAAAACUAAAAUUUAAUUAUAACCAUUCUUUAUAAAACAUGUAUCCGUUUAUAUAAGUCUAAAAAUAAUUUUAAAAAUUAAAGACAAAAAAAAAACAAAAAAAAACUGUAGCACUGAUGUACUCGAGCAACGUUUAAACUAAUGCCCUACAACUGGGUACAAAUUUCACUGUAAGAAAACAGACAAUGUAUUUCAUAAAAUAUAACAAUAAUGAUAACAAUGAACACAUAAAUAAAUGCUUCAGGUGUGGCUUUAGAUCA
rnacentral:lncRNA from 1 species